GAUGAACGCUGGCGGCGUGCCUAACACAUGCAAGUCGAACGGAGAUUACGGACGGAAGUUUUCGGAUGGAAGACUGUAAUUCUUAGUGGCGGACGGGUGAGUAACGCGUGGGCAACCUGCCCUAUACAGGGGGAUAGCAGCUGGAAACGGCUGGUAAGACCGCAUAAGUCGGCGAGACCGCAUGGUUUUGCCGGGAAAUGAGCAAUCAGGUAUAGGAUGGGCCCGCGUCCGAUUAGCCAGUUGGCAGGGUAAAAGCCUACCAAAGCAACGAUCGGUAGCCGGACUGAGAGGUCAGACGGCCACAUUGGGACUGAGACACGGCCCAAACUCCUACGGGAGGCAGCAGUGGGGGAUAUUGCACAAUGGAGGAAACUCUGAUGCAGCGACGCCGCGUGAGUGAAGAAGUAUUUCGGUAUGUAAAGCUCUAUCAGCAGGGAAGAUGAUGACGGUACCUGACUAAGAAGCCCCGGCUAACUACGUG
rnacentral:rRNA from 1 species